rnacentral:rRNA from 1 species
GGACGACCAGCCACACUGGAACUGAGACACGGUCCAGACUCUUACGGGAGGCAGCAGUGGGGAAUUUUGGACAAUGGGCGAAAGCCUGAUCCAGCCAUUCCGCGUGCAGGAUGAAGGCCCUCGGGUUGUAAACUGCUUUUGUACAGAACGAAAAGGUUUCUAUUAAUACUAGGAGCUCAUGACGGUACUGUAAGAAUAAGCACCGGCUAACUACGUGCCAGCAGCCGCGGUAAUACGUAGGGUGCAAGCGUUAAUCGGAAUUACUGGGCGUAAAGCGUGCGCAGGCGGUUAUAUAAGUCAGAUGUGAAAUCCCCGGGCUCAACCUGGGAACUGCAUUUGAGACUGUAUAGCUAGAGUACGGUAGAGGGGGAUGGAAUUCCGCGUGUAGCAGUGAAAUGCGUAGAUAUGCGGAGGAACACCGAUGGCGAAGGCAAUCCCCUGGACCUGUACUGACGCUCAUGCACGAAAGCGUGGGGAGCAAACAGGAUUAGAUACCCUGGUAGUCCACGCCCUAAACGAUGUCAACUGGUUGUUGGGUCUUAACUGACUCAGUAACGAAGCUAACGCGUGAAGUUGACCGCC